UUAUGGCUCAGGAUAAACGCUGGCGGCGUGCCUAACACAUGCAAGCCGAACGAAGCUUGACGGAUGAUUUCUUCGGAAUGAAACCUGAUAUGACUUAGUGGCGGACGGGUGAGUAACACGUGAGCAACCUGCCUUUCAGAGGGGGAUAACGGCUGGAAACUGUCGCUAAUACCGCAUGAUGUGUUCGGAUGGCAUCAUCUGAACAUCAAAGAUUUAUCGCUGAAAGAUGGGCUCGCGUCUGAUUAGAUAGUUGGUGGGGUAACGGCCUACCAAGUCUACGAUCAGUAGCCGGACUGAGAGGUUGAACGGCCACAUUGGGACUGAGAUACGGCCCAGACUCCUACGGGAGGCAGCAGUGGGGAAUAUUGCACAAUGGGGGAAACCCUGAUGCAGCAACGCCGCGUGAAGGAUGACGGUUUUCGGAUUGUAAACUUCUUUUCUUAGUGACGAAGACAGUGACGGUAGCUAAGGAAUAAGCAUCGGCUAACUACGUGCCAGCAGCCGCGGUAAUACGUAGGAUGCAAGCGUUAUCCGGAUUUACUGGGUGUAAAGGGAGCGCAGGCGGGACUGCAAGUUGGAUGUGAAAUACCGUGGCUUAACCACGGAACUGCAUCCAAAACUGUAGUUCUUGAGUGAAGUAGAGGCAAGCGGAAUUCCGAGUGUAGCGGUGAAAUGCGUAGAUAUUCGGAGGAACACCAGUGGCGAAGGCGGCUUGCUGGGCUUUAACUGACGCUGAGGCUCGAAAGUGUGGGGAGCAAACAGGAUUAGAUACCCUGGUAGUCCACACUGUAAACGAUGAUAGCUAGGUGUGGGGGGUCUGACCCCUUCCGUCCCGGAGUU
rnacentral:rRNA from 1 species